rnacentral:rRNA from 1 species
UACGGAGGGGGCUAGCGUUGUUCGGAAUUACUGGGCGUAAAGCGCACGUAGGCGGCUUUGUAAGUUAGAGGUGAAAGCCCAGGGCUUAACCCUGGAAUUGCCUUUAAGACUGCAUCGCUAGAAUUGUGGAGAGGUAAGUGGAAUUCCGAGUGUAGAGGUGAAAUUCGUAGAUAUUCGGAAGAACACCAGUGGCGAAGGCGACUUACUGGACACGUAUUGACGCUGAGGUGCGAAAGCGUGGGGAGCAAACAGG